CAUUUUUUGUUUGUAUAUCAUAAUACAGGAGUUAUUUGCUUUAUAAAAAAAACACCCAUGGCCAGGCUGUUCUACUGCAGUGUGCGACCUUACGGAAAGGUCAUAUGGCAGUAGUGAGCUACCUUACGGAAAGGUCAUAUGGCAGUAGUGAGCUACCUUACGGAAAGGUCAUAUGACAGUCUGUAUCAACAACUGAACUCCAUACUUUGAUCAUAUGUUGAGACUUCUGGCAUGUUACAUCAAACAAUGCAGAAAACCCCAUUUGGUCAAGGUUCUAUAAUAGUUCGGUCUGAUGUUUAGUACAUGUAUUGGAUGAUGCUCACAUUAAAUAUCACCAAAUAGAAAAGCAAGGAUCUGUUGUUUCAAGACAAACAACAGCAUCACACAUUUAGAUAAUUGUGGAGGAAAUGGGACAGGGAAAAUCCAUCACAAUCAGUAUAUAUGAUUAAAGGGUUGGUUCUCAACAUCCGAUUGCAGAGCAAGAGAAAUAUGUGGAGACCAAAGAUCUAUAAAAUCUAUAUGAACAAUAUAUCUAUUCCAGAAGGGUUUUGAGCUUCUACUUGCAAAUCAUGAAAAUACCAGGCAUAUCAAGGAGUAUCCAACACCAUGCCAUACCAAGAAAUAUACAUGUAUAAGGGGUCUUUUGAAAAGAAGUGACCUUGGUUUAUAUUCAAUGUCACAUAGGUAAAAGUUUAAACACAGAAACAACUUGUUUUAUAACUAAAAAGUCAUCAAGAUAUUUUGUUGUUGGGUUCCUAGGAUGAGGCUAGGCAAGUUUGUGAAAAGUCAUUACUUUCAUCCAUAUACAUUACCAGAGUCAAACUUGUUAAAACACCAGCAUCUAUUGAUUAACCAAAAAGCCUAAACUAAAAAUAUUUGACUGGUAGGUUCCAGGAACAUCGCUGACCUUGACAAAUAUCUAAUCUAGCAUUAAAAUUCGCCAAAAACUUUUUUUUUUUAAAUAAAAAAAAACCUCACCUCAAACAGAAGAAAAGGGCAGGCAGGAAAAUGAUGAAUGUUGAGAUGCAUGCUACCAAGCCUCUAAGUCACCAGACUCUUGUAUUCUUCUGGUAGCCAAACCAUUUUAAGUUAACUAUCAUGUCAAGUUUUAAAGGAUUAUAUAAAGAAGUAUGAAAUCUCAUCUGGCAAUAGUGGCAACUUACAUUUGUAAAUCUUUCUGGAUCUCUUCAUUGUACAGUUUACAGUGUUAGCUAGGUUUUAAUAUAUGCUUUCUCUUGUCUGGUUUCAGCAACGUCUACACAGGUAUUUAUUACCUUUAACAUCCGAAAUGCUAUUCAGAUGUAGAACAAAAUAAAACGUACCAAAAUAUGAAAGUUUGUCACAAAUUUAUUUUGUGUUCCGAGUUCUGUCAAGAGAAUAUUCACGAAGUCAGUGUCCGUAGAAAAACUGACCAGUGUACUCUUAGGACACAUGCCUAUCCCCA